GAUGAACGCUAGCGGCAGGCUUAAUACAUGCAAGUCGAGGGGCAGCAUGGUGUAGCAAUACACUGAUGGCGACCGGCAAACGGGUGCGGAACACGUACAGAACCUUCCUUCGAGCGGGGAAUAGCCCAGAGAAAUUUGGAUUAAUACCCCAUAGUAUUAUGGAGUGGCAUCACUUUGUAAUUAAAGAUUUAUCACUUGAAGAUGGCUGUGCGGCUGAUUAGGUAGUUGGCGGGGUAACGGCCCACCAAGCCUGCGAUCAGUAACUGGUGUGAGAGCACGACCAGUCACACGGGCACUGAGACACGGGCCCGACUCCUACGGGAGGCAGCAGUAAGGAAUAUUGGUCAAUGGACGAAAGUCUGAACCAGCCAUGCCGCGUGGAGGAUGAAGGUCCUCUGGAUUGUAAACUUCUUUUAUAUGGGACGAAAAAAGGCCUUUCUAGGUCGUCUGACGGUACCAUAUGAAUAAGCACCGGCUAACUCCGUGCCAGCAGCCGCGGUAAU
rnacentral:rRNA from 1 species